UGGGGAAUAUUGGACAAUGGGCGAAAGCCUGAUCCAGCCAUGCCGCGUGUGUGAAGAAGGUCUUCGGAUUGUAAAGCACUUUAAGUCGGGAGGAAGGGCAUUAACCUAAUACGUUAGUGUUUUGACGUUACCGACAGAAUAAGCACCGGCUAACUCUGUGCCAGCAGCCGCGGUAAUACAGAGGGUGCAAGCGUUAAUCGGAAUUACUGGGCGUAAAGCGCGCGUAGGUGGUUUGUUAAGUUGGAUGUGAAAUCCCCGGGCUCAACCUGGGAACUGCAUUCAAAACUGACUGACUAGAGUAUGGUAGAGGGUGGUGGAAUUUCCUGUGUAGCGGUGAAAUGCGUAGAUAUAGGAAGGAACACCAGUGGCGAAGGCGACCACCUGGACUAAUACUGACACUGAGGUGCGAAAGCGUGGUGAGCAAACA
rnacentral:rRNA from 1 species